GGCCUGGUGGUCUAGUAGUAUGAUUCCUUCUUAGGGUGGUUCUCGGUGCAAACCCGAGUGAUUACGUGAUAUGGAGGAGGUCCCGGGUUCAAUUCCCGGCCAGGCCC